ACGCUCGACACCUACGGAGGCAGCAGUGGGGAAUAUUGCACAAUGGGGGAAACCCUGAUGCAGCGACGCCGCGUGAGGGAAGAAGGUUUUCGGAUUGUAAACCUCUGUCCUUGGUGAAGAAAGCGGACGGUAGCCAAGGAGGAAGCCACGGCUAACUACGUGCCGGCAGCCGCGGUAAUCUGAGCGGGCUGGCAAGGC
rnacentral:rRNA from 1 species